rnacentral:rRNA from 1 species
ACACAUGCAAGUCGAACGAAGCUCGAUUCUUUGAGAUUUCGGUCAAAAAGAAAAGAUGACUUAGUGGCGGACGGGUGAGUAAUGCGUGAGCAACCUGCCUCGGAGAGGGGGACAACAGCUGGAAACGGCUGCUAAUACCGCAUAAUGUAUUUGGAGGGCAUCCUCUGAAUACCAAAGAUUUAUCGCUCUGAGAUGGGCUCACGUCUGAUUAGUUAGUUGGUGAGGUAACGGCUCACCAAGACUGCGAUCAGUAGCCGGACUGAGAGGUUGAACGGCCACAUUGGGACUGAGAUACGGCCCAGACUCCUACGGGAGGCAGCAGUGGGGAAUAUUGGGCAAUGGGCGCAAGCCUGACCCAGCAACGCCGCGUGAAGGAAGAAGGCUUUCGGGUUGUAAACUUCUUUUAUGAGGGACGAAGAAUGUGACGGUACCUCAUGAAUAAGCCACGGCUAACUACGUGCCAGCAGCCGCGGUAAUACGUAGGUGGCGAGCGUUAUCCGGAUUUACUGGGUGUAAAGGGCGCGUAGGCGGGGAAGCAAGUCAGAUGUGAAAUCCAUGGGCUCAACCCAUGAACUGCAUUUGAAACUGUUUCUCUUGAGUGCCGGAGAGGUAGACGGAAUUCCUAGUGUAGCGGUGAAAUGCGUAGAUAUUAGGAGGAACACCAGUGGCGAAGGCGGUCUACUGGACGGUAACUGACGCUGAGGCGCGAAAGCGUGGGGAGCAAACAGGAUUAGAUACCCUGGUAGUCCACGCUGUAAACGAUGAAUACUAGGUGUGGGGGGACUGACCCCUUCCGUGCCGCAGUUAACACAAUAAGUAUUCCACCUGGGGAGUACGACCGCAAGGUUGAAACUCAAAGGAAUUGACGGGGGCCCGCACAAGCAGUGGAUUAUGUGGUUUAAUUCGAAGCAACGCGAAGAACCUUACCAGGGCUUGACAUCCAACUAACGAAGUAGAGAUACAUUAGUGCCCUCGGG